UACGGGGGGGGUAAGCGUUGUCCGGAAUUAUUGGGCGUAAAGGGCUCGUAGGCGGUUUGUCACGUCGGGAGUGAAAACUCGGGGCUCAACCCCGAGCCUGCUUCCGAUACGGGCAGACUGGAGGUAUGCAGGGGAGAACGGAAUUCCUGGUGUAGCGGUGAAAUGCGCAGAUAUCAGGAGGAACACCGGUGGCGAAGGCGGUUCUCUGGGCAUUACCUGACGCUGAGGAGCGAAAGCGUGGGGAGCGAACAGG
rnacentral:rRNA from 1 species